AUUGAACGCUGGCGGCAUGCCUAACACAUGCAAGUCGAACGAGUGGCGGACGGGUGAGUAAUGUCUGGGAAACUGCCUGAUGGCGGGGGAUAACUACUGGAAACGGUAGCUAAUACCGCAUACCAUCGGAUCGGCCCAGAUGGGAUUAGCUUGUUGGUGGGGUAACGGCUCACCAAGGCAACGAUCCCUAGCUGGUCUGAGAGGAUGACCAGCCACACUGGAACUGAGACACGGUCCAGACUCCUACGGGAGGCAGCAGUGGGGAAUAUUGCACAAUGGGCGAAAGCCUGAUGCAGCCAUGCCGCGUGUAUGAUGAAGGCCUUCGGGUUGUAAAGUACUUUCGGCGGGGAGGCGUUAUCUGCAGAAGAAGCACCGGCUAACUCCGUGCCAGCAGCCGCGGUAAUAC
rnacentral:rRNA from 1 species